GUUACAAAACACAAGUGUUUUCUUAUGAGUGCAACACACUUGUGGCAAACAUCUCAACAUUUUACUCAGGACUGGGGAUGGCAGCAACAAACAGUAAUAAUUUUAGAUACACAAGAAACUCUAAAAUGGAGGAGACAUGUACUGACCCAAGCUCUUCUAAGUAAUCAAAACCAUCUAGGAGUCUAAAAUCAGGACCCAAAUGAUGCAGACAAGACCAGGACAGAAAAUCACAGAGAGACCCUUCAAGAACAGCUGUGGAGCACGGAGUUUUAAGAACUUCUACAAAAACAAAGAACAAGAACACAGGCACAAACUCAGUAAUUGCA